CACUCCUGCGGGAGGCAGCAGUGGGGAAUUUUGGACAAUGGGCGAAAGCCUGAUCCAGCAAUGCCGCGUGAGUGAAGAAGGCCUUCGGGUUGUAAAGCUCUUUUGUCAGGGAAGAAACGGUGAAAGCUAAUAUCUUUUGCUAAUGACGGUACCUGAAGAAUAAGCACCGGCUAACUACGUGCCAGCAGCCGCGGUAAUACGUAGGGUGCAAGCGUUAAUCGGAAUUACUGGGCGUAAAGCGUGCGCAGGCGGUUUUGUAAGUCUGAUGUGAAAUCCCCGGGCUCAACCUGGGAAUUGCAUUGGAGACUGCAAGGCUAGAAUCUGGCAGAGGGGGGUAGAAUUCCACGUGUAGCAGUGAAAUGCGUAGAUAUGUGGAGGAACACCGAUGGCGAAGGCAGCCCCCUGGGUCAAGAUUGACGCUCAUGCACGAAAGCGUGGGGAGCAAACAGGAUUAGAAACCCGGGUAGUCCC
rnacentral:rRNA from 1 species